AGAGUUUGAUCAUGGCUCAGGAUGAACGCUAGCUACAGGCUUAACACAUGCAAGUCGAGGGGAAACGACAUCGAAAGCUUGCUUUUGAUGGGCGUCGACCGGCGCACGGGUGAGUAACGCGUAUCCAACCUGCCCACCACUUGGGGAUAACCUUGCGAAAGUAAGACUAAUACCCAAUGACGUCUCUAGAAGACAUCUGAAGGAGAUUAAAGAUUUAUCGGUGGUGGAUGGGGAUGCGUCUGAUUAGCUUGUUGCGGGUAACGGCCACAAGGCGACGAUCAGUAGGGGUUCUGGAGAGGAAGGUCCCCCACGAUUGGAACUGGAGACACGGUCCAAACUCCUACGGGAGGCA
rnacentral:rRNA from 1 species